UAAAGUGGAUUAGCGGCGGACGGGUGAGUAACACGUGAGUAACCUGCCUUAGACAUUGGGAUAGCCUCGGGAAACCGGGAUUAAUACCAAAUAAAAUCAUAAUGACACAUGUCAUAACGAUCAAAACUCCGGUGGUCUAAGAUGGACUCGCGUCCCAUUAGCUAGUUGGUAGAGUAAAAGCCUACCAAGGCGACGACGGGUAGCCGGCCUGAGAGGGUGAACGGCCACAUUGGAACUGAGAAACGGUCCAA
rnacentral:rRNA from 1 species